AUUGAACGCUGGCGGCAGGCCUAACACAUGCAAGUCGAGCGAGCGGCGGACGGGUGAGUAAUGUAUGGGAAACUGCCUGAUGGAGGGGGAUAACUACUGGAAACGGUAGCUAAUACCGCAUACCAUCAGAUGUGCCCAGAGGGGAUUAGCUAGUUGGUGGGGUAAUGGCUAACCUAGGCGACGCUCCCUAGCUGGUCUGAGAGGAGGACCAGCCACACGGGAACGUAGACACGGGCCAGACUCCUACGUGAGGCAGCAGUGGUGAAUAUUGCACAAUGGGCGCAAGCCUGAUGCAGCCAUGCCGCGUGUAUGAAGAAGGCCUUCGGGUUGUAAAGUACUUUCAGCGGGGAGGCGUUACCCGCAGAAGAAGCACCGGCUAACUCCGUGCCAGCAGCCGCGGUAAUAC
rnacentral:rRNA from 1 species